rnacentral:rRNA from 1 species
GAUGAACGCUGGCGGCGUGCCUAACACAUGCAAGUCGAGCGAACGCACGAGAAGCUUUCUCCCCUGCUGUUAGCGGCGGACGGGUGAGUAACACGUGGAUAACCUACUACUAUUACUGGGAUAACUUCGGGAAACCAGUGCUACUAAUGGCUCAUAUUUUCAACCGCUUGGAUCAAAAGUGCAUGACGGCCUUGCCGUUACUUUUAGCUGGUUCCGCGCUGCAUUAGCUAGUUGGUAAGGUAACGGCUUACCAAGGCAACGAUGCAUAGCUGACCUGAGAGGGUGAUCAGCCACACUGGAACUGAGACACGGUCCAGACUCCUACGGGAGGCAGCAGUAGGGAAUCUUGCGCAAUGGGCGAAAGCCUGACGGAGCAACGCCGCGUGAGUGAAGAAGGUCUUCGGGUCGUAAAGCUCUGUUAUUAGGGAAGAACAGAAGUGUAUGAAUCUGUGCACAUCUUGACGGUACCUAAACAGAAAGCCACGGCUAACUACGUG